rnacentral:rRNA from 1 species
AGAGUUUGAUCCUGGCUCAGGAUGAACGCUGGCGGCGUGCCUAACACAUGCAAGUCGAACGGACUUACACAGAAGCAGGAGAUGCUUGCAUUGACUAACGGAAGUGUAAGUUAGUGGCGGACGGGUGAGUAACGCGUGGGCAACCUGCCCCAUACCGGGGGAUAACACCUGGAAACAGGUGCUAAAACCGCAUAAGCGCACAGCUUCGCAUGAAGGUGUGUGAAAAACUCCGGUGGUAUGGGAUGGGCCCGCGUCUGAUUAGCUGGUUGGCGGGGUAACGGCCCACCAAGGCAACGAUCAGUAGCCGGCCUGAGAGGGUGGACGGCCACAUUGGGACUGAGACACGGCCCAAACUCCUACGGGAGGCAGCAGUGGGGAAUAUUGGACAAUGGGGGAAACCCUGAUCCAGCGACGCCGCGUGAGUGAAGAAGUAUUUCGGUACGUAAAGCUCUAUCAGCAGGAAAGAAAAUGACGGUACCUGACUAAGAAGCCCCGGCUAACUACGUGCCAGCAGCCGCGGUAAUACGUAGGGGGCAAG